rnacentral:rRNA from 1 species
AGUGGGGGACAACGUUUCGAAAGGAACGCUAAUACCGCAUACGUCCUACGGGAGAAAGCAGGGGACCUUCGGGCCUUGCGCUAUCAGAUGACCCUAGGUCGGAUUAGCUAGUUGGUGAGGUAAUGGCUCACCAAGGCGACGAUCCGUAACUGGUCUGAGAGGAUGAUCAGUCACACUGGAACUGAGACACGGUCCAGACUCCUACGGGAGGCAGCAGUGGGGAAUAUUGGACAAUGGGCGAAAGCCUGAUCCAGCCAUGCCGCGUGUGUGAAGAAGGUCUUCGGAUUGUAAAGCACUUUAAGUUGGGAGGAAGGGCAGUAAGUUAAUACCUUGCUGUUUUGACG